rnacentral:rRNA from 1 species
AUUGAAUCAAUCUCAUCAAUGAAGAUGAUUGAUGGUGCAUUCUUCUCUGCUUCUUCAAAUGCCUUCCUGAGAUUGCUCUCACUUUCUCCUGCUAACUUGGACAUAAUUUCUGGGCCAUUGAUCAGGAAGAAGAAUGCGCCCGUCUCAUUGGCAACAGCCCUCGCAAUAAGGGUCUUGCCAGAGCCAGGUGGUCCAAACAGCAAUAUGCCCUUUGGAGGCUUCACACCAAUAGACUUGAAAAGUUGAGGGUGA